UACGGGGGGGGCAAGCGUUGUUCGGAAUUAUUGGGCGUAAAGAGCUCGUAGGCGGUCUGUUACGUCUGCUGUGAAAACCCAGGGCUUAACCCUGGGCUUGCAGCGGAUACGGGCAGACUAGAGGCAGGUAGGGGAGAAUGGAAUUCCCGGUGUAGCGGUGAAAUGCGCAGAUAUCGGGAGGAACACCGGUGGCGAAGGCGGUUCUCUGGGCCUGACCUGACGCUGAGGAGCGAAAGCGUGGGGAGCGAACAGG
rnacentral:rRNA from 1 species